ensembl:lncRNA
GGACAUUUUAUGCCUGAGUUACAAUAACUUUUAUUCCCAUGGCGAGACAUCGAACUUUGUGACGGCGCCAUGGACACGCCCUUUAACGAAAACUCAAGAUCUUCACAAUUUAACAUCGCACAGGCCUUUAGAAUAGAGUGACUGAAAAAAAAAGAAUUAUGUCAUAAAAUUUCUCGGGAUAGUUUGUUACAGCGUAAAAUAUGUCACUUCCUGUUGCCAGUAGGUGGCGCUAUGACUAUAACUGAAUAUGGGCAUGUCAAUCUGUUCAGGUCAUGAGUCUUAUCAAACAUGUGAAGUUUGUGGCAGAUUGGACAUUGUAUGUCUGAGUUAUAGCAACUUCAUUUUUCAUGGCGAAUCAUCGAAAUUCG